GAAGCAUCCUGUUAAGUCAGGCAACGAGCGAGACCCACGCCAACAGUUGCUAGCUCGUCCUCCGGGUAUGGGGAGGACACUGUUGGGACCGCUCUGCUAAAGAGGAGGAAGGAAUGGGCAACGGUAGGUCAGCAUGCCCCGAAUUAACUGGGCUACACGCGGGCUACAAUGGGUGGGACAAUGGGUAUCGACACCGAAAGGUGAAGGCAAUCUCCUAAACCCAUCCGUAGUUCGGAUUGUGGGCUGCAACUCGCCCACAUGAAGCUGGAAUCUGUAGUAAUCGUGUUUCAAAAUAGCACGGUGAAUAUGUCCCUGCUCCUU
rnacentral:rRNA from 1 species